rnacentral:rRNA from 1 species
UACGGAGGGGGCAAGCGUUGUUCGGAAUUACUGGGCGUAAAGCGUGCGCAGGCGGUUCGUGAUGUCUGAUGUGAAAGCCCCGGGCUCAACCUGGGAAUUGCAUUGGAAACUAGCGGGCUGGAGUGUGGCAGAGGGGGGUGGAAUUCCACGUGUAGCAGUGAAAUGCGUAGAGAUGUGGAGGAACACCGAUGGCGAAGGCAGCCCCCUGGGCUAACACUGACGCUCAUGCACGAAAGCGUGGGGAGCAAACAGG